AACGAACGCUGGCGGCAUGCCUAACACAUGCAAGUCGAACGAGACCUUCGGGUCUAGUGGCGCACGUGUGCUUACCGCGUGGUAACCUGCCCUUAGGUUCGGAAUACCUCCCCGAAAGGGGUCCUAAUACCGGAUAAUGUCUUCGCACCAAAGAUUUAUCGCUUUUGGAUGGGCCCGCGUUGGAUUCGCUAGUUGGUAGGGUAAAAGCCUACCAAGGCGACGAUCCAGAGCUGGUCUGAGAGGAUGAUCAGCCACACUGGGACUGAGACACGGCCCAGACUCCUACGGGAGGCAGCAGUGGGGAAUAUUGGACAAUGGGCGAAAGCCUGAUCCAGCAAUGCCGCGGGAGUGAUGAAGGCCUUAGGGUUGUAAAGCUCUUUUAGCCGGGAUGAGAAUGACAGUACCGGGAGAAUAAGCUCCGGCUAACUCCGUG
rnacentral:rRNA from 1 species